rnacentral:rRNA from 1 species
GGGCCCGCACAAGCGGUGGAGCAUGUGGUUUAAUUCGAUGAUACGCGAGGAACCUUACCAGGGCUUAAAUGUAGUAUGACCGGUCUGGAAACAGACCUUCCCUUCGGGGCAGAUUACAAGGUGCUGCAUGGUUGUCGUCAGCUCGUGCCGUGAGGUGUUAGGUUAAGUCCUGCAACGAGCGCAACCCCUAUUCUUAGUUGCCAGCGGUUCGGCCGGGGACUCUAAGAAGACUGCCAGCGCAAGCUGAGAGGAAGUGGGGAUGACGUCAAAUCAUCACGGCCCUUACGUCCUGGGGCUACACACGUGCUACAAUGGUAGAGACAGAGGGCAGCCACCUGGCGACAGGGAGCGAAUCCUUAAACUCUAUCUCAG